AGAGUUUGAUCCUGGCUCAGGAUGAACGCUAGCGACAGGCUUAACACAUGCAAGUCGAGGGGCAGCACAGGUAGCAAUACCGGGUGGCGACCGGCGCACGGGUGAGUAACGCGUAUGCAACUUACCUAUCAGAGGGGGAUAACCCGGCGAAAGUCGGACUAAUACCGCAUGAAGCAGGGGCCCCGCAUGGGGAUAUUUGCUAAAGAUUCAUCGCUGAUAGAUAGGCAUGCGUUCCAUUAGGCAGUUGGCGGGGUAACGGCCCACCAAACCGACGAUGGAUAGGGGUUCUGAGAGGAAGGUCCCCCACAUUGGUACUGAGACACGGACCAAACUCCUACGGGAGGCAGCAGUGAGGAAUAUUGGUCAAUGGCCGAGAGGCUGAACCAGCCAAGUCGCGUGAGGGAUGAAGGUUCUAUGGAUCGUAAACCUCUUUUAUAAGGGAAUAAAGUGUGGGACGUGUCCUAUUUUGUAUGUACCUUAUGAAUAAGGAUCGGCUAACUCCGUGCCAGCAGCCGCGGUAAUACGGAGGAUCCGAGCGUUAUCCGGAUUUAUUGGGUUUAAAGGGUGCGUAGGCGGCCUUUUAAGUCAGCGGUGAAAGUCUGUGGCUCAACCAUAGAAUUGCCGUUGAAACUGGGGGGCUUGAGUAUGUUUGAGGCAGGCGGAAUGCGUGGUGUAGCGGUGAAAUGCAUAGAUAUCACGCAGAACCCCGAUUGCGAAGGCAGCCUGCCAAGCCAUUACUGACGCUGAUGCACGAAAGCGUGGGGAUCAAACAGGAUUAGAUACCCUGGUAGUCCACGCAGUAAACGAUGAUCACUAGCUGUUUGCGAUACACUGUAAGCGGCACAGCGAAAGCGUUAAGUGAUCCACCUGGGGAGUACGCCGGCAACGGUGAAACUCAAAGGAAUUGACGGGGGCCC
rnacentral:rRNA from 1 species